UGGGGAAUAUUGGACAAUGGGCGCAAGCCUGAUCCAGCAAUGCCGCGUGUGUGAAGAAGGCCUUCGGGUUGUAAAGCACUUUUAUCAGGAGCGAAACGCUGUCGGCUAAUACCCGGCGGAACUGACGGUACCUGAGGAAUAAGCACCGGCUAACUUCGUGCCAGCAGCCGCGGUAAUACGAAGGGUGCAAGCGUUAAUCGGAAUUACUGGGCGUAAAGCGUGCGUAGGCGGUUUCUUAAGUCUGCUGUGAAAUCCCCGGGCUCAACCUGGGAAUGGCAGUGGAUACUGGGAGGCUAGAGUGUGUCAGAGGGUGGUGGAAUUCCCGGUGUAGCGGUGAAAUGCGUAGAGAUCGGGGAGGAACAUCAGUGGCGAAGGCGGCCACCUGGGACAACACUGACGCUGAGGCACGAAAGCGUGGGGGAGCAAACAGGAUUAGGAUACCCUGGGUAGUCCACGCCCUAAAGCGAUGCGAACUGGAUGUU
rnacentral:rRNA from 1 species